rnacentral:rRNA from 1 species
UACGUAGGGGGCAAGCGUUGUUCGGAAUCAUUGGGCGUAAAGAGCGUGUAGGCGGCCCGUUAAGUCCGCCGUGAAAGCCCGGGGCUCAACUCCGGAACGGCACCCGAUACUGCGGGGCUUGAGACCGGGAGAGGGAUGCGGAAUUCCAGGUGUAGCGGUGAAAUGCGUAGAUAUCUGGAGGAACACCGGUGGCGAAGGCGGCAUCCUGGACCGGUAUUGACGCUGAGGCGCGAAAGCCAGGGGAGCAAACGGG